GUGGAUUAGAUACCCUGGUAGUCCUAGCCGUAAACGAUGGGCACUAGGUGUGGGGGGUCAUCAACUCCCUCCGUGCCGCAGCUAACGCAUUAAGUGCCCCGCCUGGGGAGUACGACCGCAAGGUUAAAACUCAAAGGAAUUGACGGGGGCCCGCACAAGCAGCGGAGCAUGUGGCUUAAUUCGACGCAACGCGAAGAACCUUACCAGGGCUUGACAUGCAGGGAAAAGCGGCGGAAACGUCGUGUCCGCAAGGGCCCUGCACAGGUGGUGCACGGCUGUCGUCAGCU
rnacentral:rRNA from 1 species